GCCCCCAUCAUUUAGCGGCCAAGGAUGCCGCCCUUUCAAGGCGGUCGCACGGGUUCGAAUCCCGUUGGGGGUACCG
rnacentral:tRNA from 1 species